rnacentral:antisense_RNA from 1 species
UCCUACGGGGAACAGGGGAACGGGAGGCUUUACGCCUGCUGGAAACACGUUGUCCAGUCUGCUAACCCGUUCCUUUUGUUCCCCGCCCUC